rnacentral:rRNA from 1 species
AACGAACGCUGGCGGCGCGCCUAAUACAUGCAAGUCGAGCGAGAAGACGUAGCAAUACGUUUGUAAAGCGGCGAACGGGUGAGGAAUACAUGGGUAACCUACCCUCGAGUGGGGAAUAACUAGCCGAAAGGUUAGCUAAUACCGCGUACGCUCCUUGGACUUCGGUUCAGGGAGGAAAGCGAUACCGUGGGUAUCGCGCUCUUGGAUGGGCUCAUGUCCUAUCAGCUUGUUGGNGAGGUACGGCUCACCAAGGCUUCGACGGGUAGCUGGU